ACGGGGGGAGCAAGCGUUGUUCGGAUUUAUUGGGCGUAAAGGGCGCGUAGGCGGUUUGCUAAGUCGGAUGUGAAAACUCUGGGCUCAACCCAGAGCCUGCAUCCGAAACUGGCAGGCUAGAGUUCUGGAGGGGGUAGCGGAAUUCCUGGUGUAGCGGUGAAAUGCGCAGAUAUCAGGAAGAACACCAAUGGCGAAGGCAGCUCUCUGGGACGGUACUGACGCUGAGACGCGAAAGCGUGGGGAGCGAACAGGA
rnacentral:rRNA from 1 species